CUGGUGGUUUGAAUGUCCCCCUGUCUCCCACAGACUCAUGCAUUUGCACACUUGGUCAUCAGCUGGUGGUGCCUUUCAGAAGGUUGUGGAACCUUUAGGAGGUGGAGUCUUGAUGGAGGAGGUGCGUAACUGGCAAUGGGUGGGCUUAAGGCUUUACAGUAUGGCCCCACUUCCUGUUCACGCUCUGCUUCCUGACUGUGGAUGCAGUGUGAACAGCCUGCCUGCUAUUCCUACCACUAUGCCUUCACCAUCACAACCUUCUGUGAGUCCCUUCAAUUGCUUCUGGCCGGGGAUUUCGUCACAGCAACAGAAUAGUAAUCGGCAUGUCUGCACCUGCCUGGGAACUCAUGGAAGAGGCUGCCCAUCCACACCUCGGGAAUGACGUUGCCCCUCUGAGCCGUGGGGACAGCAUGACAGGGCUCAUCCAGUCAACCAGUCAAGAACUCAGCUAGCCAGAUGCAGCCUGUCUCUGCUUCCACAGGCCGGGCUUACAGACAUGUGUCGUCAUGACGAGUGUUUUAAGAGGGUGCUAGUGAUUAAAUUCGGGUCCUCAUGCUCUCCAGCCCAUUACGACAGGAUCUGGGAUCGUCUAGGAGAUGAGAUUCCAGGCACCACUGCGAGGGACUUUCUCGAUUGGGUUAAUUGAGGUGGGCAGUGCCAUGCCAUGAGCUGGGGUCCUGGAAUGAACGAAAGAGGAGACAAAAUGAGCACCAGCAUCCAUCUCCAUCUCCUCCUGGCUGUGGAUGCAGCGUGACCUCGUGCUCCUGCGGCACCAGCAUCCAUCUCCAUCUCCUCCUGGCUGUGGAUGCAGCGCGACCUCGUGCUCCUGCGGCCACAGCUCUGCCAUGACUGACUGUAGCUCACACUCUUGAGCUAAAUUAAACCCUCUGUUCUUAA